UACGUAGGGUGCGAGCGUUAAUCGGAAUUACUGGGCGUAAAGCGUGCGCAGGCGGCUAUGCAAGACAGAUGUGAAAUCCCCGGGCUCAACCUGGGAACUGCAUUUGUGACUGCAUGGCUAGAGUACGGUAGAGGGGGAUGGAAUUCCGCGUGUAGCAGUGAAAUGCGUAGAGAUCCGGAGGAACACCAGAGGCGAAGGCGGCCUACUGGGCUGCACCUGACGCUGAGCCGCGAAAGCCAGGGGAGCGAACGGG
rnacentral:rRNA from 1 species